ACACACAUACACAAGCCCACAAAUCCUAUAACAUAGUCUUAAAUAUUUUUCUUUUCAAGGAAAUGAUUAAAAUGGCUAGUUGAACAAAAUGGGGAUGAUUCUUUACCCUCCCCACCUUCUUGUUCUGGUCACCCAGCUGGUCUUAGACCUUCUUUCACUGGUAGAAAGUCUUGGGCCAGAUGCCCUUGCCAUGUUCCUCCUACCAUGAAGGAGACCUUGGCAUCAUCAUCCUAUGUUUCUUUUGCUUACAUUUUUUUCUUCUUAAUCUUAUCUAAAUGCUGUCCUUCUUUCCAGGGUAUCUCCAGUCUUAAGAAUUUUAUGAAAAUUCUCUAUCCUUACUAAUCUGCUGACACUGAGCACACUAAUUGUGAACUCUCUUAGUAUGUAUUUACAUCACAGCUAGCACUAGACUGCAGAAAAGGAGAUAUUUAAGCAACAUUUAGAGGCCAUUUAGUCAAAUUACAUGCAUGUAAGAUUUCAUUGUCUUUUACUCCUCACGAAGCCUUAGUUGCAUUAAUUGUGAUCCUUAGAAAAAUAGCCAUCAUUGUGGAAUAAAUCAAAUAUCAUUUUCUUCUCUGGACAUACUGGCUCAAAGAUAUUGCCAAUGAAUGUAUAUCAAUAUAUUUUGAGAAAAUGUAAAAUGACUUCCCAGAAGAGAUAAAAGUCCUGAUUAUCAAGACACACCAGCUUUAAGUAAAGGAAAUGUCACAGAGAUUCAGAAUAAGUGAGAAAGGCAGUAUGUUUAAUAAAUGGAUGGUGGGAAACUUCAGUCUGAGGCCUCCCAGUGAAGGAUAGUAGAGGUGAAAAUGCUUGACAUCUUACUUUUCGACAUCUUAGUCUUCAGAGAGUGAAAUUUCUAUGUAGCCACAUCUCUUUUUUCACACUUAAUACUUGAUGUUGAUGAUGGACAAUGGCAACAAUGAUGACAAUGAAAAUAAUUAUGUUACUAUGUGAAUUGGUUAAAGAUGAC
rnacentral:lncRNA from 1 species